AUUGAACGCUGGCGGAAUGCUUUACACAUGCAAGUCGAACGGCAGCACGGACUUCGGUCUGGUGGCGAGUGGCGAACGGGUGAGUAAUGUAUCGGAACGUGCCCAGUCGUGGGGGAUAACGUAGUGAAAAUUACGCUAAUACCGCAUACGAUCUAUGGAUGAAAGCGGGGGACCGCAAGACCUCGCGCGAUUGGAGCGGCCGAUAUCAGAUUAGGUAGUUGGUGGGGUAAAGGCCCACCAAGCCAACGAUCUGUAGCUGGUCUGAGAGGACGACCAGCCACACUGGAACUGAGACACGGUCCAGACUCCUACGGGAGGCAGCAGUGGGGAAUUUUGGACAAUGGGCGAAAGCCUGAUCCAGCCAUUCCGCGUGCAGGAUGAAGGCCCUCGGGUUGUAAACUGCUUUUGUACAGAACGAAAAGGUUUCUACUAAUACCUAGGGCUCAUGACGGUACUGUAAGAAUAAGCACCGGCUAACUACGUGCCAGCCGCCGCCGUAA
rnacentral:rRNA from 1 species